rnacentral:rRNA from 1 species
UACAGAGGGUGCGAGCGUUAAUCGGAAUUACUGGGCGUAAAGCGCGCGUAGGCGGCUUUGCAAGUCGGGUGUGAAAUCCCCGGGCUCAACCUGGGAAUUGCAUUCGAUACUGGAUAGCUAGAGUUCGGCAGAGGGAAGUGGAAUUUCGGGUGUAGCGGUGAAAUGCGUAGAUAUCCGAAGGAACAUCAGUGGCGAAGGCGACUACCUGGACCAGCACUGACACUGAGGCACGAAAGCGUGGGGAGCAAACAGG